rnacentral:rRNA from 1 species
AUGGACGCUAGCUACAGGCUUAACCCCUGCAAGUCGCGGGGCAGCAUGGGGGUUGCUUGGAAUCCCCGAUGGCGACCGGCGCACGGGUGAGUAACGCGUAUCCAACCUGCCCUUCACCACGGGAUAACCCGGCGAAAGUCGGACUAAUACCGUAUGUUGUGCAUUGACGGCAUCCGAUUUGGACGAAAGGUUUGGCGGUGAAGGAUGGGGAUGCGUCCGAUUAGCUGGACGGCGGGGUGACGGCCCACCGUGGCGACGAUCGGUAGGGGUUCUGAGAGGAAGGUCCCCCACACUGGAACUGAGACACGGUCCAGACUCCUACGGGAGGCAGCAGUGAGGAAUAUUGGUCAAUGGGCGUAAGCCUGAACCAGCCAAGUAGCGUGCAGGAGGACGGCCCUAUGGGUUGUAAACUGCUUUUAUGCGGGGAUAAAGUGGCCCACGUGUGGGUUUUUGCAGGUACCGCAUGAAUAAGGACCGGCUAAUUCCGUG